AUCAGACCACAGGGGAAACUCUAAAAGGAACCAAAAAUGGGAUCUGAAGGGCAAAACUUGGGAGAGGAGUUCAACAACCAGAUCAAUGAUGUCCUGAGCAGACUGGCAACCAAACAGAUGUUCCAGUCAGACUGGGACAUUGCUGCCUUCGCCAUCUUCUUCAUCUUCAUUGGUACUGUGUUGUUGAUGGUUCUCCUGGCUCUGAUCCAUUGCUGCUGCUGCUGCUGCUGCUGCGACUCCCGGGAAUCACACAAAGAAGGUAAAAAAAAAAAAAGUUUGUCUCUAGAGGAGUCUGAUCCCCUGCCUGGCGUUCUGGCACUGGACUCAGGCAGCCAGCUGUCCCACAGGUUACAGCAGAGAGGCAGGGCUUGGCUCCUCACAAACCUCCUCGGCUCUCCUGGAUUGGAAGUGUUGCAUGUUCAAUUAGCCUUCCCCCCAGCAAACCUCAGUCAGGCUGGGGAGGAGCGGGUCCCCCCAUGGUUAAAACACAGCUCAGUCUUGAGGCACAGACAGGACUGAGUCAUGCUACAGCCUUGGCGUGUUACAUGGCUCUGUCCCAUCUGUGCUACGUGGUGGACUUGGGUUAUAAAGAGGUGCCUGGGGGUUCUUCACCUUUUGGCUGGAUAUGAGUCAACAGUGUACCCUUGUUGCCAAGAAGGCUAACGGCAUUUUGGGCUGUAUAAGUAGGGGCAUUGCCAGCAGAUCGAGGGACAUGAUCAUUCCCCUCUAUUUGACAUUGGUGAGGCCUCAGCUAGAGUACUGUGUCCAGUUUGGGGCCCCACACUACAAGAAGAAUGUGGAAAAAUUGGAAAGAGUCCAGCGGAGGGCAACGAAAAUGAUUAGGGGGCUGGAGCACAUGACUUAUGAGGAGAGGCCGAGGGAACUGGGAUUGUUUAGUCUGCAGAAGAGAAGACUGAGGGGGUUUUGAUAGCUGCUUUCAACUACCUGAAAGGGGGUUCCAAAGAGGAUGAAUCUAGACCAGGGGUCGGCAACUUUUCAGAAGUGGUGUGCUGAGUCUUCAUUUAUUCACUCUAAUUUAAGGUUGUGUGUGCCAGUAAUACAUUUUAACCUUUUUAGAAGGUCUCUUUCUAUAAGUCUAUAAUAUAUAACUAAACUAUUGUAUGUAAAGUAAAUAAGGUUUCAAAAUGUUUAAGAAACUUCAUUUAAAAUUAAAUUAAAAUGCAGAACCCCCUGGACCGGUGGCCAGGACCCGGGCAGUGUGAGUGCCACUGAAAAUCAGCUUGCGUGCUGCCUUCAGCACGUGUGCCAUAGGUUGCCUACCCCUGAUCUAGACUGUUCUCAGUGGUACCAGAUGACAGAACAAGGAGUAAUAGUCUCAAGUAAUGGGGGAGGUCUAGGUUGGAUAUUAGGAAACACUAUUUCACUAGGAGGGUGGUGAAGCAUUGGAAUGGAUUACCUAGGGAGGUGGUGGAAUCUCCAUCCUUAGAGGUUUUUACGGUCAGGCUUAACAAAGCCCUGGCUGGAUGAUUUAGUUGGGAAUUGGUCCUGCUUUGAGCAGGGUGUUGAACUAGAUGACCUCCUGAUGUCCCUUCCAACCCUGAUAUUCUAUGAAAGCCCUGUCUAACCACGGCAGUUGCUGGCAUGAAUCCUGCAGCUUCCUCUGACUGGGGUGGGAAGGAAUUUAUUUCUGUGACCUGCGCUUUUCACAGUAAGAUGUGAACAGAAGGGAAGGUGGCCUUGUGUUUAAGGGGUUGAUCUGGGACACAAGUUCCAUUCCUGAGCAAGUCACUUAGUCUCUGUGUGCCUCGGUUCCCCACUUGUAAAAUGGGGACACUUCCCUACACCCCACGGGAGCUGUAAUGCAUUAAGGACUAGGAGAUGUGCAGACACGAUAUGGUGAUAGGGGACCAUAAAGACUGAGCAGACACCACCUCCCGUCAAAUGGUUCUCAGACAAGAAAUCCCUGUUCCUGAUCAUAGUUUCUAGGCCCAAGCAAGCAAAACUGGGUUCAAACUAUAAGUGUGGGCACAACCUGGGAAAUGAAUCCUGCUCCCAUCACGUGAUAACUAGAAUGUAGACAUGUUCUUCCUUUUCACCCUUUUUUUUUAAACCACAAUUAGGUCCCCAGAAAGAAAGUGGGCAUUGACAACAAGGCCAUGGAGCCAUAGCCCCGCCUCCUCCCUUGGACAGACUGAUUCUGGAGCCAAUGGCAAAAAGACUCUUCUUUGCUUGCUUCUUUCUGCUAUGCAGCAAUCAACUGCAGAUCGAAUUCUGUGUUAAUUUUGAGUGCUGGCCUGGUGGGGCCCUGGCCUCACAUAGCUGUGCUGCACUGGCUCCAGCACUUGUUCUUCCUUCUCUGUGCACAAAGGAUGAAGAUUAAAAGGAACUCCUAUGACGCUGACUAAGAAUAGCAUCUACAGCAAACUCACAUUGUACAAUUAGACCCACUGGUCCUCAAACUGCAGGGUAGAAGUUGCUCAUCAGCCUAGGGUCAGCAGAGGAAGUCUGCCCCCUUGUGGUACAGUACUGUACAUAACAGGGAGUUUAUACCUUUCAAGGCCACUACUGGCAUCAGGGAUUGCAACUAGAUGGGCCAUUGGGCCGGUCCUGAAAAGCAACUCCUGUGUGUGUAGUCACCAAUUAAAACAGUGGCCCCAGGGACUCUUCCAGGUCUCUGAAAACAUCCCUUGCUUUGUCCCUCACUGGCACCCGUCAUCUGAUACUUCCAGAGUGUGGAAAGGAACAUGGCCCAGACCAGAACUGAUCAUAAGGGAAGGAACAGCUCCCCUGAAAGCCCAUCCUGGCUUAGCUGAAGACAGCGGAGGCAAAUGUCUUGGCAGCACUUUCCUAUAGAGCCCCCAUUCACACAGGCUCGUGGGUCCUUUUGGCCUGGGUGAAUGGGGGCUCUACGGAGUUAAAUUGCUACCUGCACAGUCCCCGAUAGUCAAGAGAACUCUCCAUAUGACCAGUUGAAGGAGAACAGGCUCAGGGGAGGAAGCACAUCUUGUGCACUUACAUGCUGUUGUCUCCAUUGAUCCAGCAGAAGGAAGACAGAGUUCUGCAGAACACUACUGAACUAGGGUAGUGCUGGUGCAGGCCUGAUGCUCGGAGAGCCCAGCUCACUGUGUCUGUAAUGGCCAGACCAGUCCCUAGCCAAGGGCACUGGGCUCUAGUUCAGUGAGCUCAGGAAAGCCCAGAGUCAUUUCUUUUCUGCAUAGCUGGUUUUACACAGAACUCGGUGGAUGUAGUGCAUGGUCAGUGGCCUUCUGCGGAGUCCUACGGAGCCAGCAAACACAACCCAUUAGCCAGUGACCCUGUCCAGCUCCCUGAGACACUACCACAAACACCGCUUUGUUCAGCAGGUAGGGGAGGGGUUAGAACUCACCACCGUCUCCCUCUGGGGAGGUGUAUCGCAGGGCCAGGUUAAGUCAGCCUCUCCACUGUCUGAGACACUGACUCCCUGCAGCAGGACAAGCCAAAUGAGAGAGUAACUCGGUCAGUAGCUUGGAAGCCACGGAUAGUGAGGGGGCCUGAGCACUCCAGCUCCAAACAAAGGGCCUGUCCGUGCCUGGCCUCUGCCACCCCCGCCCCUCUCUGGUACUCAGGAACAUCCUGAGCAUGGCAUUCAGGAACAGGCCUCUUAGCCACUGGACUAAGUUUAGACAGGAGCUUGCCUGGCACUGCGAAGGGCAGCCAGAGUCCCAGAGACAGCCGUGCUCUGGGCAGGAGAGCCGCUUCUGACUCCUCCAUGAAGCCCUCUAAAUAAGCAGUGUUCAGAGAGCACAUGGGACUUCACAUGGACCUGUGCUUCUAUUCAGUCUGCACGUUUUCCUUCAUCACCGUACAGUCUUUACGUACGCACCCAUGGGCCUGUGACCACCCCUGCAGAGCCUUAUUCCAUAUGGCAUAAUCGCUGCAUUGCAGUGGUAUUGCACUCUGCUGAGCGAGUGUAUCUAAAAGCGAAGGCCCACGAGGUACACAGCUUCAUCUUCCCCAGCCCCUUUUGCACUCGCUUUGGCUCAGAGGUGAGUGACACACACAGAAGAAAAGGCCUCUUCUCUCUGUGGGCUCGAUCCUGUGCUCAGUAAGACCAUUGACUUCAGUGGCAGCUGGAGCAGACCCCCUUUCUGCCCAGCAGUUUGCUCUCAAACCCAGCUAGCAGCAGGGCUUGCUGGAAAUACAGGAGUCCCUUUGGUUGGAACAUUUAUCAAUUUCAGCAGCACUUCUAGCUGAGCGGCUCCACUCCCUGGUGCAUUAUAACCCUGUGCUUUGUGUGCUAAUUAGAGUCAAGCACAGGGAGCGUCACACCCUUCCUGCUGGUCAGCUGCUCCAGUGCUUGUGACUGCCUUCUCCCGCCCAGCUUGUUUAUUCACUGACUAGUGGCUCAUAGGGAACCCGAAGGGAGGGUGUUGGGGGGCAGUUCAAUUAACAUUCCAAACAAUGUCCUCUGGGGUUUCCCACUGACUUGUAUGUUCAUAAAUCUUUCUAAUUUCAUCUCUGAAUCCAGGAAGACUCAUGAUUAUAAAUAAAAAGCACAUGAUGGAGAUCA
ensembl:lncRNA